CGGCGAACUUCGGUCAGCUGACACAUCCCUGCCAAUCUCCGGCACACCCUCCCUCCCAGACCCUCCUACUUCCUGGACAGCAUCCAUGUUGAAGGCAGGUCUGGGAGGGAGGGUCUGCCAGAGAUUGGCAGGGAUGUGUCAGCUGACCGG